rnacentral:lncRNA from 1 species
GGGUGAAGGCCUGGGAAUGCAUUGCGGGCAUUGCGGGUGUUUUAGAGGCUAGGGGAACAAGCGGCGCUGCUAGAGCUGAUGAUAAACCGAUAGUGACAAUCUACUAUAGCCUAGUGUAGUUGAGGAGGUGUCGGUGCUGGAGCAGGCAGUGGCAGCAAUGCUAUGGGCUGGAAGGAGAGCAUGAAGAUUGAAGGGUUUGUUUGGUUCUGAUUGAGGUUUUUUCUCGAGCAUACGGGUUUUUAUGCAAUUCAUGGUAGUCUAAGUGGCAAAGGACUAAAGAGGAGGAGGUGGCGCCGAUGCUGUAGCGGGCGGUGGCGGCAGUGUCAGGACCCAAAAAGAGAGCACGGAGAUCGGAGGGGUUUCUUAGGUUUCGGUUGGAGUUUUUUCUCGAGCAUAUACAUUUUGGCACGAGUUGUGAUGAUGUGAGUGGCAGAGGGCUGAGGAGGAGGAGGCGAUGUCGGUGCUGGAAUGGGCGGUGGCAGUAGUGCCGGGUCUCGGAAGGAGAGCAUGGAGAUUGAAGGGGUUUCUUAGGUUUUGAUUGAGGUUUUUUCUCGAGCUUAUGGGUCU